rnacentral:misc_RNA from 1 species
CAGCAGCCCGGCUUGAGCGGAAAUCCUUUUUACGCAACAUAGUGGAGUAAAAAGAUUGGGAGCAGAAGACGGAAAAAGC